CAGUAGCCGCGGGAAUACGAAGGGGGCUAGCGUUGCUCGGAAUGACUGGGCGUAAAGGGCGCGUAGGCGGAUUGUUUAGUUAGGCGUGAAAUUCCUGGGCUUAACCUGGGGACUGCGCUUAAUACAGGCAGUCUAGAGUGAGGAAGAGGGUUGUGGAAUUCCCAGUGUAGAGGUGAAAUUCGUAGAUAUUGGGAAGAACACCGGUGGCGAAGGCGGCAACCUGGUCCUUGACUGACGCUGAGGCGCGAAAGCGUGGGGAGCAAACAGGAUUAGAUACCCGGGUAGUCCCUGUCUCUUAUAC
rnacentral:rRNA from 1 species